GACGAACGCUGGCGGCGUGCUUAACACAUGCAAGUCGAACGGAAAGGCCCUGCUUUUGUGGGGUUCUCGAGUGGCGAACGGGUGAGUAACACGUGAGUAACCUGCCCUUGACAUUGGGAUAACUUCAGGAAACAGGGGCUAAUACCGGAUAUGAGCUCCUUCUGCAUGGUGGGGGUUGUAAAGAUUCGGCGGUUGGGGAUGGACUCGCGGCCUAUCAUCUUGUUGGUGGGGUGGUGGCUUACCAAGGCUUCGAGGGGUAGCCGGCUUGAGAGGGUGACCGGCCACAUUGGGACAGAGAUACGGCCCAGACUGCUACGGGAGGAAGCAGUGGGAGAUAGAGCAAGAUGGGCGGAAGGAUGAAGGAGCAACGCCGCGUGCGGGAUGACGGUCUUCGGGUUGUAAACCGCUUGCGCCUGUGACGAAGAGUGAGUGACGGUAACGGGUAAAGAAGCAACGGCUAACUACGUG
rnacentral:rRNA from 1 species